AGCAGCCAGGGGUAGUUUGGAGAAGGAGGUGUUGAGUCAGUUGUAUAAGGAGGAGGUUGGGGGUGACUGCUGCUUAUUAAGAUGAUUCAUUUCAUUUCCACUCGUGGUUGUGAUUUUCACCUUCUCAAAACUGAGUCAGCAAGAGAAAAUCUUGUCUUAGAAGGGCCAGAUAACACUUCGCUGUGAGAACAGGAGGGAUAAUGGAUUGGAGAUGGCUAUGUGUAAAGCAGCCCUGCCUGCUGAUUUAACACACUUUCAAAAUAGAUGUGUCAGUAUUCAUUUAAAGCAAGACUCUGAUGACAGAAGGAACCUUGAAAACUACCUGAUAUUGAAAUGGUUGUGCCCUUUAUAGCCCUUUUGCAUCUCCUUGACUUUCCAGUCAUGCCUCCUAAAUCAGAAGAAAAGCUGCAAAGAAAAUGUUUUGUGUGGUUCUGGGCUUAUUUGAAUAAUGUUCAUGACCACAGGCUGCCAUAGCACAAGUGAGAAUUUCAGACCACAAGGGUUUAAGGAGCAGUGCUCUCUUCUCUCAAAGCUCAGAACGGUCUCUGGAUCCAUGGUAUCGUACACCCAGUGUGGAUAUUAACAUUCUUUAAUGCAGGUUAUGAAUAAUAAAUAAAACAGGUUUUUGUU
rnacentral:lncRNA from 1 species